AGCGAACGCUGGCGGCAGGCCUAACACAUGCAAGUCGAACGAACCCUUCGGAGUUAGUGGCGGACGGGUGAGUAACACGUGGGAACGUGCCUUUAGGUUCGGAAUAACUCAGGGAAACUUGUGCUAAUACCGAAUGUGCCCUUCGGGGGAAAGAUUUAUCGCCAUUAGAGCGGCCCGCGUCUGAUUAGCUAGUUGGUGAGGUAAAGGCUCACCAAGGCGACGAUCAGUAGCUGGUCUGAGAGGAUGACCAGCCACACUGGGACUGAGACACGGCCCAGACUCCUACGGGAGGCAGCAGUGGGGAAUCUUGCGCAAUGGGCGAAAGCCUGACGCAGCCAUGCCGCGUGAAUGAUGAAGGUCUUAGGAUUGUAAAAUUCUUUCACCGGGGACGAUAAUGACGGUACCCGGAGAAGAAGCCCCGGCUAACUUCGUG
rnacentral:rRNA from 1 species